rnacentral:lncRNA from 1 species
CCCCCCUAGUGGAGGCCUCUUAAAGAAACAGGACGCCAUUCCCCUGCGGGCUACAGGGUCUGAAGGAAGCUGGAACACACUUUUUUCUCCUGCCUUUGGACAUCGGAACUCCAGGCUCUCCAGGCUUUCCAGACUCUGGACUUAACAGCAGUCUCUGGACUUACAACAGCAGCCCCCUGGAUCCUCAAGCCUUUGGCCUCAGACUAAUAAUUAUAUCAGCAACUUCCUGGUUCUGAGGCUUUUGGGCAGCCAUGCUACUAGCAACCCAGCAGUUCCAGCAGAAGGCCUGUUGUGGGACUUCUCAGCCUCCAUGAGCAUGUAAGCUUGCUUAAAAGAACUCCAGAUGGCCCGGGAGCUGCAGGACCCUUUGCCAAUUAUCAGAGGAAGAUAAGGCCUGUGUGAAACCGGGACAAACCUGAACCAGCGACCCCGUGUUACCUUUAGAUCAUUAACAUAUCAUCAUAAUGCUAAAACCUCACCCAUAGAAGAUAAUUGCUGCCAUUUUCUGAAUAUACAUUAUAUGAAGAAGCAUGUUCAUGAUCUGCACCUGCACAUCUGGAGUUCCUCCCCAUACAUGUUUACGUACCUCCCUGCCCCACAUCUAACUCCUUAAAAUCCCCCAGCUUCUCAUAUCUCAGGGAGAAGGAGUCUUUAGAGAAAGAGCUCCCUCCUCCAUUCCUGGCCAGGAAUAAAACCUGCUUGCCUUUUUUCCCAAUUAGGUGUUACAGUAGAACUCAGUUACCCUGUAACAAUAAGAAUUGCAUUAAAUCCUUAUAUCAACUUGGGAAGAAUUGACAGCUUUACCAUAUUAAGUCUUCUAAUCCAUAAAUAAGUAUGUUCAUCCAUUUUUUUAGAUUUUUGAAAUUUCUUUCAUCAGCAUUUUGUAGUUCUUUGCCUCACUAUCUAGAUCCCAAAUAUUUUCUGUUUUUUUUUUCUGAAAGUUUUAUCUCUUACAAUUUAAACCUGAGUAGUUCUCAGCAUGCAAGCCCCAUACAUGUUUUGUUGGAUUUAAAUUUAAGUACUUUGGUUUUUGAUAAAUUGUAAGUGCUACUGUAUUUUAAGUUUCAGUGCCCAUGUGUUCCUUGCUGGUAUAAAGAAAUACAACAUAUUCCUGCAGUCUAGCUGAAGUCACUUAUCAGCUCUAGGAGUUUCUGUUUUUUGUUUUAUUUUUGGUAGAUCUUUGAGAUUUCCUACUUUGAUAAGCAUGUUAUCCACGAAUAGGGACAGUUUUAUUACUACCUUUCUGAUCUGUAUGCCUUUUAUUUCCUUUUCUUACCUUAUUGCAUUGGGUAGAACUUCUAACACUGUUUAACAAUAAUGGUAAGAGCAGUCAUCCUUGCCCUUUUCCUCUUCUCAGGGGUACAACCAUUCAGUCUUUCACUGUUAAGUAUGAUGCUGGCUGUGGAGUUGUUAUAGAUGCUCUUUAACAAGUUAGGACAAAUUCCCUCUAUUUCUCUUUUUCUGAGCAUUUUUAAAACCAUGAAUGGGUAUUUUGUGAAAUGCUUUUUCUGUAUUGAUUGGUAAGAUCAAUUUUCUUUUGUAUCCAGUUAGUAUGUUGGAUUAUGUUGACUGAUUUGUGAAUAGUAAAACUGCCCUGCAUUCCUGCA